rnacentral:rRNA from 1 species
AUUAAAUAGCUGCAGUAAAUAUAACUGUACAAAGGUAGCAUAAUAAAUAGUUUAUUAAUUAUAAACUUGUAUGAAAGAUUUAAUGUAAUAAAUACUGUUUUAAUUUAAAAUAAUGAAUUUUUUUUUUAAGUAAAAAAACUUAAAUAAAAUUAAAAGACGAGAAGACCCUAUAGAAUUUUAUAUUUAAUUGGGGUGAUUGUAAAAUUUAAAAAACUUUUAUAUAAAUAAACAAUAAUUAUUGAAUAAAUUAUAUUUUUUUAAAAAAAAUAAAAUAAAUUACCUUAGGGAUAACAGCAUAA